rnacentral:rRNA from 1 species
CCCUUAGAUGUUCUGGGCCGCACGCGUGCUACACUGAGUGGAUCAGCGGGUCAGGUUGCGCGAAAGUGUUUCCUAAUCUUGAAAUCCGCUCGUGAUGGGGAUUGACGGUUGCAAUUUCCCGUCAUGAACGAGGAAUACCUUGUAAGCGCGGGUCAUCAUCCCGCGCUGAAUACGUCCCUGCCCUUUGUACACACCGCCCGUCGCUCCUACCGAUUGAGUGGUCCGGUGAGGCUUUGGGAUCUGAGCAAAAAGAGCGUUUCGCUCGUUUGGCUCGGAAAACUCAGUCGAACCUUAUCAUUUAGAGGAAGGAGAAGUCGUAACA